AACGAACGCUGGCGGCAGGCUUAACACAUGCAAGUCGAACGGGUGUAGCAAUGCAUCAGUGGCAGACGGGUGAGUAACACGUGGGAACCUUCCUAGGGGUACGGAACAACUCAGGGAAACUUGAGCUAAUACCGUAUACGUCCGUGAGGAGAAAGAUUUAUCGCCCUUAGACGGGCCCGCGUCGGAUUAGCUAGUUGGUGGGGUAACGGCCUACCAAGGCGACGAUCCGUAGCUGAUCUUAGAGGAUGAUCAGCCACACUGGGACUGAGACACGGCCCAGACUCCUACGGGAGGCAGCAGUGGGGAAUCUUGGACAAUGGGCGCAAGCCUGAUCCAGCCAUGCCGCGUGAGUGAAGAAGGUCUUCGGAUUGUAAAGCUCUUUUGCCAGGGACGAUAAUGACGGUACCUGGAGAAUAAGCCCCGGCAAACUUCGUGCCAGCAGCCGCGGUAACAC
rnacentral:rRNA from 1 species